CUCUGUGAUUGUGUGUGCACGUGUCUAGGUGCAUGUGACUGUGGGUGCCCAGUGAGGCCGGCAGACGGUAUUAGGUCCCUGGAAGCUAUAGUUACAGCUCCCUGAUGUGGAUGAUGGGGACCAAACUCCCCUCUGAGCAGCACUCUGGUCUGCUGAGUCAUCCAUCCAGCCCCAAUACGCAAUUGCUUAACACUGAUUCACAACCCUAAAGUCAAUAUUUUCCUGCUGUCAUUCCCCAGCAGGUAAGUAUCAGAUUAAUAUGUCUUUGGGUAGAUUGUGUUAGAAUGCUUGCUUUUGAAAAUUGCUUUUUGAGGUCCUGACUUGAGCUUCAUAUACAAUAUUCAAUGGGUUUGGCUUGGGGUUUGGACAGAAUUUCCAACCGAUGGUGAAAUGGCCCUAAACAUUUUUCUACAAUUUUGUAUUAUAUAUUUAUUUAUGAGAACUUAUGUUUUUGUCACUGAUUUUAAAUUUUUGGUUUUAAAAUCAAAAUAUUGGUCAAUUGUUAAGAGGUUCUACAUCCUAUAAUAUCAAAGAGUUGGCUAAUAUUUCUUUUUCAAAUAAAAAUAAAUAAGUACAUUUGUUUAUGCCUUUAAUAAAUGACAAAAUUACAUGCAUAUGCCAAAGAAUUGCUUUAAUUGAUUACAUACAAGAAAAAAUGUGUCCCUAAUAGAUAAAUACUAGUACCUAGAUAACAGGAAGUAUUACCAGCUAGAAUUACUUUUAACAAGUUGUUCACUGUUAAAUUAUCUUUCAAAAGAGUAAUUUAUGGAAAAUUGCUUCUCAAGGGUUGACCAUCUUUCUUCAUAAUUUUCCAAAUGAGGGGUUAUGUGGAUGAAAACCUUUCUGGCUUUCUCUAUUCAGUACAUGUGACAAUCCUCAGUCAUGGGGUGACACAGAGUAACUCAGACUGCAUUUCAGUGCUUCUUUUUGCCAUUGAAUUCAUGUCCUGGUCUAGAACACGCAUGCUAUGUGAGGCCAGUUCACCUCCACCUCCACCCCACAUCCAGCUAAAAGAUGAAUUUUGAAAAGACUUAAACUGUUGUCCUAAAACAAAUAGUGCCCAUAAAUAAUCAAAUCAGUUCAAUCAUGUACCUUUCAUCUCAGGAGCAGUUCCGAGAACUAAGUUACCGACUGUGAUUAUGGUUUGUAAUGAACGUGGUCUGAAGUCACUCUGGAACCCUAACAUGAUGCUUUUGCAUAUGUUCAUGGCUUGAUUAAGAUAUUCACGUGUGUUUAGAUACUAUUUUACUGCAUGUGGCUCACUGCUCAUAGCGUGCCAUCUUACAGCAAUGAAAACAUUGCUGAAGAAUUUUGCCAUCUUGAUAAAUCAAAUUCCUCAUUUUUAGAUAUCACUGAAGUCUUAUCUCUGUCUAUGCAGGCUUUACUUGUGAUUUACAAAUUCAGUGUCAAAAAGAAAAUUGUGUGAGAGAGCAUGUAUGUGCUGGAAUGCUGGUGAGAACAUUGUUCUAAAUUAAAAGAAACUGAGACACAAAGAUAAAAUCCAGUAUCUAAAACUUGACUUUUUAAGGAAUAUCAUACUAUAUACUAUAUAAACUGUAUUAAGGACACAUGAACAAAGCUGCAUGUCUAGGGAGUAGAUAAAAUUGCAAAACUAUUCUUUCUUUCUUUCUUUGUUUCUUUCUUUUUUGUUUCUUUCUUUCUUUUUUGGUUAUGUUGGUAUUGUACUUACACAGCAGAACACCUUGAUUUUAGAAGCUGCCCCUGAAAUUUAGGGUAGAGUGUCAGGAAGUAUGCAAUUCAUUUUAAGGUACCAUCCCUAAGCACACAGAGGUACACACAUGCGCACACAUGCACACAUGAAAAAACUAGUGAUGUUUUAACAUUCAAUGCUUAUGCAUUUAGACGGCAGAGAUGUGGUAAUGUGAGCCCUGGGUUAAGAUUUGUUUAUUGCUUUGUCUUUCAAAUUUUCAACAUGGUACAAUAUUUAUAAUCAAAAUCUGGGGGAAAAUAAAAUCAUUUCUUAUAAGAUAGUUCUAGAAUUUCUAGGAAAGAAAUUCUGUUUAUGUAAGAUACAGAACUAAAUUGAGAUCUCCAGCUAAGGUGAAGAACAAGCCAUCCGGAGACAAGAGGACAAAGAGCAGUGCCAGAAUCCCUGAGUGAACCGGAUGUGAGAAGGAAGCCAGCCAUUCUGUACAGUCAAUACAGAAUAACAAAAACGAACCCAUAUUCUCUGUAAGUUAGUCACUUCCAAAUACAAGUCCAAGAAAGUAACUGAUUAUUCCUAAAAUGUGGGCAACUGGCCUUUGAUACCAGUUAUCUGAAUUUUUAAUUUUCUUGAGUUCUCAGGAUGAAGACAAUGCUAAUCAUCUUAACCAUAAACUUUUAAGUUCAUGGAGGUCAGUAUGUUUUUAAUUAUCUUCAAUGUUAAAAGUUUCCAACCUUGAUAUAAACCUUAGGAGAGGAUUCAAGUGACGUUCGGAGCUAGCAACAUCUAAAAAGUUUCAAACGUGGGAUGAUUUGAGUAACCACUGUACUGUCUCUACAGAAGUAGAUUAACUUACCUGAGUAGCUGAGGGUCUCACUGAACUCGUGUCUGGGCAUCUCUGUGACACUGUGGCUGGUUUGCAAUGCUUCCCACUGCUGUGUUUUUAUAGCCCAGGCUGAGAUAGACUUCCAGGCAAAUGCUCUACCUGUCCAAGGUAAGGGUGAAGAAACACUGGGCUGAAGAAUCAGUAUGUCAAUGUUGAAUGAUGACGGCAAAGCUGCUCUCUCUAUAUAUAGCUACAAUUGUUGUUCCAGUAGUUAACAGUGUGAUCAAGAGGAAGCAGCUUAUCUGGAGGUUUUCGGCAAAAGUCGAUGACAACCACAUGCCUUUAUAAUAAGGUUUGUUCAUCAGCUGUAUUGUCUGUUAUGGCCUACAUUAGCACAAAAGAUUAAAAACUGAGUAACUGGUGUUAAAGAAUUUCAGUUUCCUUGUUCUUAUUAACUUCACAAUCAGCACUCAAUAAUGGAGAAAGGGGGAUGGACAGUAGGAGAGAGAGGUGGAGGGGGAAAAAGAUGCUUACUGUGGUUCACAGCUCUGGUCCAAGGUCAAGGGGCUGCAUCUUAUGAAUGCUUUCUUGCUGGCAACAUCUAGAUGGUGCAGGGUAGCAUGUGUUGAGAUGUGUGUGUGUGUGUGUGUGUGUGUGUGUGUUUUGUGUGUGUGUGUGUGUGUGUGCUGCUACUAAUCUCUUCCUUUUUCUAUAAACCUACUAGCAGUGGGUCAAAGAGUUUCUAUCCACCCUAAUGGUUUCAUCUAACACUAUUCACCUCACCAAGUCUCCACCUCCAAUAGCAUAAUCAUAUUGUUUCUGCUCUCUUACUCACAGUGCAACUGAGUUUCAACAUGAACUUUGACAUGGAAUAAACGAUACAUGGCGACCCAAUACAUCCACCGGCUUCCAAGUUAACUUUAACAGAAGCAGCGUCUCACCUCACACAUCAACGUCUGUUCUUUGUGCAGCUGUGCUCAGACAUUGCAGGCAGAUGGCAGCUUUGCAGUUUCCUCCUCUUCUUCUUUUAAAAUCUGAAACACACAUAAAUCUAGGCCAUUAAAUAAGAGCAUCUUUUUCUAAAAAUUCCUGUUAUCAGUAGAUAAUCAUAGUCAUCCGUGUCUUCUGCUCUUUUGAGGGACAGAGACUGGCAGAAACAAGCACUUGGCAUUAAUGUGUGCACAUUCUGGUCUUUCAGAAGGAAGUUUCCAACUCUAGACUUGACAGGAGAAGGCACCUGAAGAAAAUGUCUAUGCAGCAACUCAUUUCUUCUACUACAAGUUGUCAAAAGUAGGCGCUGGGGAGUCAUAAUGAGAUUAUUUAUCAGCAGGGAGCAUACCAUUGAGUCAUACAGGGAGCACCUAAAAUGGACUUUCCAGAAGUUGACAAGCUUGGUCACUGAUGCAGGGAGAGGAGCUGCCCCUCAGUGGUCAGCGUACUUCCCAGAGGUUGAUAAAUGGGUAACUCAGGCAAGGAAAACAGAGCACACAUCUGAGAGAGAAUACUCUUGUUUCCAAGAAGAAAGUCACUAUGUGUGCAGACUUCAUGGUACAGGCACACAGAGGAUAUUGGCUUCUGAUAGCUCCUGUCUUCCUCUCCCUCUUUCUUAUGUCCCAGCCAUGCAUAUCCCACACCUUUUGUGAUCAUGUACAGUUCCUGGAUAGUUGUUUCAUUUUCUUUCAACUUUUCCCCAAGUCUUCUGAAUUUUUGAACUUUCUGUUGUAUCUUUAAGCUCAGUUCUGCCUAAUGACAAGCCUGUGAAAUGCAUUCAUCUCUGCUUCAACGUUGUUCAUCUCUGGCAUUUUUGCUAGGCUCCUUCUUAGGACCUUCCUUUCUGCUUACAUUAACUAUUUGCUUUUACAUGAUAAUUGAUGCUUCUUAUCAGAGCCUUUAGCACGUUUAUUUAUCAUGGUUGUUUUGAGUUUUCAAGCUGCUGAUCCCAAUAUCUUAACCAAUAUGGUGAUAACUGUAUGUUCUGUAUCCAGGUUUGGAGGUUUCAUUGUUAUAGCUUAAGAUUUUAUGUGUGCGUGCUUGCAUACAUGUAUUUAUAUAUUUCGCCUUUUAAUGUGACUUGUGACUUUUUUGUUGUUGAAAGCCUGUCAUGAUAUAUUAGAAAAGCAGAAAAGAGUCCUUUAGUGUAAUGAAGGAAAAGGAAUUGUAAAUUGGAAAAGCUCUCUGUGGUCCACUGUGCUGUGCUAUCUUCUGGUGAGUCAGGGAGCCAGUGAGCUCCCAGGCUGUGACCCUGUAACAUUUGUCAGUAAUGUCCCAUGUUCAGAUGAUCAGGAUGUAUAAUGCUGGGUGUGUCCCUUCUCCUAGGAAAGGUAGCCUCUGUCAAGCCUAAAUCUAGGCUCUGGUGAACUAGCUCUCCUCAGGCAGAUCUUAGCAUGCUCGGACUUAUUUUAGGUUCUCUGUUGAACCACACUAGAACUUUCGUUAGCCUCACUAUGAGAACCAAUGUUUUCUAGGAAAGACUCAAGGACAUAAAACUUGCAUAGAUGUUUUUGACCCAUUGGUGUAUGUAGUUCCCAAGCCCAUCUACGCUGGUAGGUUUGUCAUGUUUACAAGCCUGGCUCCCUACUCCAGUCCCAGGGUUUGCAGUUUUGUUUAUAUCUCAGAAGUUGUGUUCUCCAUAUGUAGGUCUUCUUGUUUGAGGGUGUCUUAAUUUGCUUUCUGUUACUGUGAUAAACAGCAUGACCAAAAGUAAUCUAGGAAGCUUUAAGUUAAACUAUAGGCUUGCACAUCCCAAUUACAGUCCAUCACUGAGGAAUGCCAGGGCAGGAACCUGGAGACAGGAACUGAAGCAGAGACCAUGGAGUAUUACAAUGCAGGACCACUUGAACAGGGAUGGGACUGCUCUUCUGUGUGCUGAGUUCAUCCACAUCAAUCAUUAAACAAGAAAAUGCUUUACAGACUUGACCAUUGGCAAUCUGAUGGAGGUAUUUUCUGAGUUAAGGCUCCCUCUUCUCAGAUGACACUAGCUUGUGUCAAACUGCCAAAACAACAACAACAACAAAAAAAACUAACCAGGACACAAAGUGAGGGGGCACCUACAUAAGGAAAAGGGCCCUGGGUCUUGAGGUACAUUGUGUAUCAAAACUACCGGAGCUUUCCAUUCCAAGGCUUGUGUUGAAGACACAUUUCUGGAAACUGAGAGAACUUGGUGACGCCUAUAGUUGUCAUGCUCAGAUGUAGCUGAAUUAAUCCUGCUCUGACAACAGUGACUCCUAAAUUGCUCACACUCAUGUAAGCAGCCCCUCCCCAUGCUUCUGUACCCUUACCCAUGCUUCUGUAAGCAAACCCUACCCCAUGCUCCUAUACCCCUCCCCCAUUCUCCUGUACCCCUCACCCAUGCUCCUGUACCCCUCCCCUAUGCUCUUGUGCCCCUCCCCCAUGUUUCUCUACUCCUUCCCCAUGCUCCUGUACCCCUCCCCCAUGCUCCUAUAAGUAACCUCAGUAAAUUCCUUGGUUGGCCAAGUUGGACUUCAGUGGUAUCCUUACUUUGGUCUGUUAUCAGGUGAAGAGACAUUAGUUCACAUCUCCCCAGGAUAGUGUACUAGAGCACCUCAUUAAAAAUCAGAUUGAGCAGGUUUUAGUGGUGCAUACCUUUAAUCCCAGCACUUGGGAGGCAGAGGCAGUUGGAUCUCUGUAAGUUCAAGGC